GCCUCUGUAGCUCAGUGGUAUAAGAGCAGUCAUUCCCAUGUUGGAUGGUCAUGGGUUCGAAUCCCAUUGGAGACA
rnacentral:tRNA from 1 species